GAUGAACGCUGGCGGCGUGCUUAACACAUGCAAGUCGAACGAAGACAUCUGAGUGCUUGCACUUGGAUGGACUGAGUGGCGGACAGGUGAGUAACGCGUGGGUAACCUGCCUCACACUGGGGGAUAACAGUUAGAAAUAGCUGCUAAUACCGCAUAAGCGCACAGUUCCGCAUGGAACAGUGUGAAAAACUCCGGUGGUGUGAGAUGGACCCGCGUCUGAUUAGCCAGUUGGCGGGGUAACGGCCCACCAAAGCGACGAUCAGUAGCCGGCCUGAGAGGGUGAACGGCCACAUUGGGACUGAGACACGGGCCCAAAACUCCUACGGGAGCAGCAGUGGGAAUAUUGCACAAUGGGGGAAACCCUGAUGCAGCGACGCCGCGUGAGUGAAGAAGUAUUUCGGAUGUAAAGCUCUAUCAGCAGGGAAGAAAGUGACGGUACCUGAAUAAGAAG
rnacentral:rRNA from 1 species